rnacentral:lncRNA from 1 species
AUGCUAAGUGGAAGAAGCCAGAUUAAAAAGGCUACAUACUGUACAGUUUUAUUUGUAUGAGAUUUUGGACAAGGUAAAACUAUAGGGAUAGAAAACAAAUUAAUGGUUGCUAGGGAAAGUAUUGAGGGAGAAAAGAGCCAGAGGGAAUUUUAUUUUAGGGUGAUAAAACUACUCCAUAUUUUGUUUGUGCCAGUGGAGGUUGUGUGUCAUAGAGAAAGGAAGAUUUCACUUUUUCUAAAUUAUAUCUUACUCUAACUUUAUUUUUUAUUAAAAUAUAAUAGAUUUACAAUAUUGUGCUAAUGUCUGCUGUACAGAAAAGUGACCCAGUCAUACACACACACACACACACACAUUUUUCUCCUAUUAUAUUCCAUCACGGUCUAUCUCAAGAAAUUGAUAUAAUUUCCUGUGCUAUACAGUAGGACCUUAUUGUCUAUUCAUUGCAGCUACUGACCCCAAAUGUAAUAGUUUGCAUCUACUAACCCCAGACUCCCAGUCCAUCUCACUCCCUCCCUCUUGCCCUUUAAUUCUUCCAUGUUUAGACUAUAAUAAUAUAAUUUUUAAAAAGCAAAUGAAAAAUUGGGCAAAAAUAUAUGUAACAUGUGGGACAGACAAAAGGUUAUUUAACAUAUACAAACUUUUAUAAAUUUAUAAGAAAAAGAUGAAUAUGCCAAUUUAUAAAUAUCUAAAGGAUUUACAUCAAAAAUUUACAGAAGAGAAAAUACAAGUAGCCCAUGAAUUUAAAAAUUCUUCAUUAAUAUAAAGGACUGUGAGGGGAAAUCAGCCAAAUAGUGGAAUAGAAAGAACUUGAGCUCUAAUUUUCUCACAGGCAUAACAAAAUCAAAACUUUAUACAGAACAACCAUCAGUGAAAAAAUCAGAACCUACCAGAAAAGGUCUUUUACAACUAAAGAUAUAAGGAAGGAACCACAAGACUGCUAAGAGAGGAAAACUCAAAAUAUAGUCAAGUUCUAGAUUCCCUGGGUGGCUGACUCACAGACAGGAGAAAAAUUGCAGUUGCCGAGUUUCUCCCAAGGAAGUGAGAGAUCUGAGCCCCAGGUCCUGCACCAGGAAGAUAAACCCUCAGAGAAUUCAGCUUCGAAGGGCAAUGGGGCUUACUUUUGGGACUCCCAGAGGGAUGAGGAAAAUAGAUACUUCACCCUUAAGGACACACACAGUAUCUCACACUCUGGCACUCAGGGCAGAAUCAGCUGAAGCAGUAUUUUGAUAGGAACCUGGAUAAAUCUUACCUACUGGUCUUGGAGAGUCUCAUGGAGAGAUGGGAGGCAACUAGGGCUCAAACUGAGGACAUAAACACUGGUGGCAGCCAUUUUGGGGAGCAUUUUCCUACUACAAGGACACUGGUGCUGAAAAGCACCAUUGUGGAAUCCUUCUAGCUUAUUGCCCCAGGAAGCAGUCCCACCCUGGCCCAUCAGCCUGUAGGUACCCAUGUUGGGGUGCCUCAUGCCAAUAAAGUAGACAACCAAGAAGAAAUGGACAAAUUCUUAUAAAUGUACAAUUUCUCAUGAUGAACCAGGAAGAAAUAGGACAUGUGAACAGACCAAUUAGUAGUAAUGAAAUUGAAUCAGUAAUAAAUAAAUUCCCAACAAAUGAAAGUCCAGGACUAAAUGGCUUCACAGGUGAAUUCUACCAAACAUUUAGAUAAGAGUUAACACUUAUCCUUCCAAAAUAUUUCAAAAAAUAUCAGAGAAAGGAAUCCUCCUGAACUCAUUCUAUGAGGCCAGCAUCACCUGAUACCAAACCAAAUAUAUCACAGAAAAAGAAAGUUACAGGCCAAUAUCAUUAUUGAACAUAGAUGCAAAAAUCUUCAACAAAAUUAGUAAACCUAAUCCAACAAUACAUUGGGAAAUCAAGUGGGAUUUAUCCCAGAGAUGCAAGUAUUUUUCAGUAUCCUCAAAUCAAUCAAUGUGAUACAUCACAUUAAAAAACUGAAGAAUAAAAGCCAUAAUAUCAUCUCAAUAAAUGCAGGAAAAGCUUUGACAAAAUUCGACAUUCAUUGUUGAUAAAAACUCUACAGAAAAUGGGCAUAUAUGGAACAUAUCUCAACAUAAUAAAGGGCAUAUAUGAUGAACUUCCAGCUAACGUCAUACUCAGCAGCUUUAGGAACAAGACAAGAAUGCCCACUCUCGUUACAGCAAUUAGACAAGAAAAAGAGAGAAAAGGAAUCCAAAUUAGAAAGAGAGAAGUAAAACUGUCCUUGUUUGCAGAUGACAUGAUAAUAUUCAUAGAAAACCUUCAAGAUACCACCAAAAACAGAGCUCAUCAAUGAUUUUGGUAAAGUUGCAGGGUACAAAAUUAUAUACAGAAAUCUGUUGUAUUUCUAUACAUUAAUAACUAACUCUUGUUAUUCUAUUAGAAAGAGGAUUUAACAAUCUUCAUCAUUUACAAUCACAUCAAAAAUAAAAUACCUAGGAAUAAGCCUGUUAAAGGAGAUGAAAGACAUAUGCUGAGGACUAUAAGACAUUAAUCAAGGAAAUUAGGGAAGAUUCAAAGAAAUGGAAAGAUAUACCAUGCUCUUGGAUUUGGAAGAGUCAAUAUUGAUAAAAUGAACAUACCAUCCAAGACAUUCUAUAAAUUCAGUGCAAUCCCUAUUAAACUAUCAAUGCAUUUUUUACAGAACUAGAACAAUCAUUUUAAAUUUUAUUUGAGAAGGCACAAAAGACUGUGAAUAGCCAAAACAAUCUGGAGAAAGAAGAAGAGUGCUGGAGGAAUCACACUCCCUGAUCUCAGACUAUACUACAAAGCCACUGUAAUCAAAAGAGUAUGGUGCUGGUGCAUAAAGAGAUACAUAGAUCAAUGGAACAGAAGAGAGAGCCUGGAAAUAAACACAUGCACUUAUGGCCAAUUAAUCUACAACAAAGGAGGAAAUAAUAUACAAUGGAGAAAAGACAGUCUUUCAAGAAGUGGUGCUGGGAAAACUGGACAGCUACAUGUAAAAUAAUAAAAUUAGAAUAUUAGAGUUCCUGUCGUGGCUCAGUGGUUAAUGAAUCCGACUUGGAACCAUGAGGUUGUGGGUUCAAUCCCUGGUCUCGCUCAUUGGGAUAAGGAUCCAGCAUUGCCACGAGCUGUGGUGUAAGUUGCAGACAUGUUUCAGAUCCAGCGCUGCUGUGGCUGUGGUAUAGGCCAGCAGCUAUAGCUCUGAUUAGAUCCCUAGCCCGGGAAUCUCCAUAUGCCGCGAGUAUGGCCCUAGAAAAG